rnacentral:rRNA from 1 species
GAUGAACGCUGGCGGCGUGCCUAAUACAUGCAAGUCGAGCGAACGGACGAGAAGCUUGCUUCUCUGAUGUUAGCGGCGGACGGGUGAGUAACACGUGGAUAACCUACCUAUAAGACUGGGAUAACUUCGGGAAACCGGAGCUAAUACCGGAUAAUCUUUUGAACCGCAUGGUUCAAAAGUGAAAGACGGUCUUGCUGUCACUUAUAGAUGGAUCCGCGCUGCAUUAGCUAGUUGGUAAGGUAACGGCUUACCAAGGCAACGAUGCAUAGCCGACCUGAGAGGGGGAUCGGCCACACUGGAGCGGAGACACGGUCCAGACGCCUACGGGAGGCAGCAGUAGGGAAUCUUCCGCAAUGGGCGAAAGCCUGACGGAGCAACGCCGCGUGAGUGAUGAAGGUCUUCGGAUCGUAAAACUCUGUUAUGAGGGAAGAACAUAUGUGUAAGUAACUGUGCACAGCUUGACGGUACCUAAUCAGAAAGCCACGGCUAACUACGUG